rnacentral:rRNA from 1 species
CCUACGGGGGGCAGCAGUAAGGAAUAUUGGUCAAUGGAGGAAACUCUGAACCAGCCAUCCCGCGUGAAGGAUGAAGGGGCUCUGCCUUGUAAACUUCUUUUGUCUGGGGCGAAAAAGCUCGAUUUAUCGAGAACUGACGGUACCAGAAGAAUAAGCACCGGCUAACUCCGUGCCAGCAGCCGCGGUAAUACGGAGGGUGCGAGCGUUACCGGGAAUUACGGGGGCGUAAGGGUGCUAUUACGGAGGUGGUGAAAUCUUGUCGCUUAACGAUAAAAUUGCCAAUGAUACUGGUACUCUUGAAUUGGGUUGAGGUUGGCGGAAUGUGACAUGUAGCGGUGAAAUGCAUAGAUAUGUCAUGGAACACCAAUUGCGAAGGCAGCUAACUGGGCCUUGAUUGACGCUGAGGCACGAAAGCGUGGGUAGCGAACAGGAUUAGAUACCCGAGUAGUC